AGAACGAACGCUGGCGGCAGGCCUCAAACAUGCAAGUCUAGGGGGGUGUAGCAAUACAUCACCGGCGGACGGGUGCGUAACACGUGGGAAUAUACCUUUUGGUUCGGAACAACGCAGGGAAACUUGCGCUAAUACCGAAUGUGCCCUUACGGGGAAAGAUUUAUCGCCAAAGGAUUAGCCCGCGUAGGAUUAGCUAGUUGGUGAGGUAAUGGCUCACCAAGGCUCCGAUCCUUAGCUGUUCUGAGAGGAAGAUCAGCCACACUGGGACUGAGACACGGCCCAGACUCCUACGGGAGGCAGCAGUUGGGAAUCUUGGACAAUGGGGGAAACCCUGAUCCAGCCAUGCCGCGUGAGUGAUGAAGGCCUUCGGGUUGUAAAACUCUUUCGACGGGGACGAUAAUGACGGUACCCGUAGAAGAGCUCCGGCUAACUUCGCGCCAGCAGCCGC
rnacentral:rRNA from 1 species